UUCCUGCCAUGAUGAUAAUGGACUGAACCUCAGAAUCUGUGAAUAGUUUACUGCCUCUGGUUCCCAGCAUACCAUCUGGCAACCCUAUGAACGGUUUGAAAACAUCCAGUUUACCUGCUCAUAAUCUGAAACCUCUAAAACUGUGGGCUCAAUAUCUUGUAGUUUUCAGUGCCUUGCUUAAGAACACUGUUUCUGAUGGUAUUAUACAUCAUAUCUAAAAUCAACAAUUCUAUGUCAAGGUCAAAGGACUGUAACUUCUGUUCUUAUCGCAUUUAAAGAAGACUUCUACUGAUGUGGAGACCAUCUGUGGGUAUUAAAUGGAGCGCCUGCCUAAGGAAUUAUGGAACACGUCUGCCAGAGAUCUGAACAGAUAAUUUUAGAGGCCAUUCAGCUGUCUUGGACAAGCAGGUAAAUUCUUGAAGUUGCUGGAGAAUAAGACCCACAGAUCAACUACUUGAUGAACCCGACUGCACUGCUAUUCCACAAAAUUAAUGACCAACUACAGCACCUGCCUAAAUUCAGGCCUGGUGAAAGUUCAGUCCCUGGGACCUACAGAGUGGAAAAAGAGGACUAGUGUUGAUUGUCAGCUGAUAUGUGCUGUGGUGCAUGCAUGCCCAUACAUACAACCACACAUAAACCAACAAUAAAUGUGACCUUAAAACACUAAAGUCAUACAUUUGAGUAGGGUUCCAAAGACUGCUGAAGCAGAAUUAAAUCAUCCUAUUUACUAUUUAUAUGUGGUAUUUUAUCCACCACAUUGCUUGCUCAUUUUAAACCACCCAAGAGGCUAUUAAGAUUCAUUGUGACAGAAUUCUUUGAUGCUAAAUAUUCUACAUUAUUUAUCAUGCUCAUGAAUGAUUUACAGCUGAAAUGUCAGCAUUCUAAAUAAUUUAUGUAAUUUUUAAAGUAGAUGGGUUAAAAUGAAAUCUCACCAGAACAAAAGAAAUACAGAUUGUGUUUUCCUAAGUUCUCCGAUAUUUAAAAAACAAUAAGUAGAUAUUGCAGUUGUUUUCAGGCUAACCUGUGGAUUACAGUUCUAGUAUUUACUAGUAAUUAUUACUAACUAUACUGAGUAGAGAUUUUUAAAUUUUAAUACCUCAUUAUGAAAAGAACUCAAGUAACUAAGACAUUGAGGAGAAAAGUAUUCAAAAUUAAAACUAUUUAUAAUGCCAGCUCAGCACAGUGGCUCAGUGGGUAAAGACACUAAGUCCAGUGGCCAAGUACAAAACCUGGAAAUCACACGGUGGGAAGUGAGAGCUGGUUCUCAUCUUCUGAUUUCUAAAGACACACACACACACACACACACACACACACACACACACGCACACGCACGCGCACGCGCACGCGCACGCACACGCACACGCACAC